GAUGGUGUAGCUCAGCGGUUAGAGCGGUUGACUGUUAAUCAACGGGUCGAUGGUUAAAUCCAUCCACCAUCGCCA
rnacentral:tRNA from 2 species